CUAUGUUAAGGCAAUGAUGUCUGCCACUAACCGCUUUAAUGAGCUGAUGACGUCUACUUUUGC
rnacentral:ncRNA from 2 species